UACGAAGGGGGCUAGCGUUGCUCGGAAUCACUGGGCGUAAAGCGCACGUAGGCGGACUCUUAAGUCGGGGGUGAAAUCCUGGAGCUCAACCCCGGAACUGCCUUUGAUACUGGUAGUCUUGAGUUCGAGAGAGGUGAGUGGAAUUCCGAGUGUAGAGGUGAAAUUCGUAGAUAUUCGGAGGAACACCAGUGGCGAAGGCGGCUCACUGGCUCGAUACUGACGCUGAGGUGCGAAAGCGUGGGGAGCAAACAGG
rnacentral:rRNA from 1 species